AGUUUACCGAAGCUGGCGCGCACGAGGCGGGUUCAGGUUUGAGCGGCCUUGGGUUUGAGGCGCUUCAGGUUGGACAGCAAAUAUUGUUUGAACAAAUUUCCAAAUGGAAGUGUCACAGGACCUGGACGAGAUCCGUCAGCUGCUGGUGCAGAGCCGACGGGACAACACCCGUCGCCUGCUCUCAGCAGAGGUGGCCAGACUGGAGGCGCUGAAGACCGCAGAGGAGGCCAGUCAGCCAGCCAAGAAACCCGUCCAGCCCCCGGCAGACCGGGUCUAUGAGAAGAAACUCACAGAGUAUGCUUGGGAUCAGUCGGACAAGUUCGUCAAGUUCUACAUCAACCUGAAGAACGUGCAGAAUGCCCCCGCGGAGAGCAUCAAAUGCAACUUCACCGACAAUUCGUUUUCACUGCGUGUUGAGGGUCUGGACAACAAGAACUACAACUUCUCGCUGAGCAACCUGCUGAGGCCUAUCGAUCCCGCUGCCAGCAAGUACAAGGUCAAAACAGACUGUGUGCUGGUGAUGCUCUCCAAGCGUUCCUCUCAGUCGUGGUCGCACGUGACCGCGGCGGAGAGCGCGGCCGACGAGGCACGCGCCGCCAAGUACUCAUCUCCCGACAAGACUGACGCCGGCGGCGACCCGGCUGCCGGCAUCAUGGACUUGAUGAAGAAGAUGUAUGACGAGGGAGAUGACGAGAUGAAGAGGACGAUCAAGAAGGCGUGGGCCGAGGGCCAGGAGAAGCAACGCUCUGAGGGCGGCUUCGGGGGACUGGGAGGACUGGGAGGCAUGGGAGGGCUGUGAGCGGUGUGAUGAGGUCGGGGGAGCGGCGCGGGAAGUGACGAGUGAAGACCAAGGGGCACAACUGUACCCCGUCCCCAGCAAAGGAAGGUGAGGAGGGUGGUUUGUAUCAGGCUGGCCAUGCCAUGACGGGUGUGUCAGUGGUCGGCGUUUGACGCCAGCGGCGACGAGUAAGGUCUCAGUUUUCUCCCCAGCCGGAGAUUUGUAACGUCUCUGUUUUGUAUGCAUUGCGUUAUAUUGUGAUCGUCUUUUUGCCAAGGCUGCCAAACCGUACACGGCGGAAAGAUGUCUUUGGUGUUGUUAUUCCCUAAUCUGUUCUGUCCUAUAUUGUAUGCGAAGCUGUUUUGAUAAAGCUCUGGUCCAUGA
rnacentral:misc_RNA from 1 species